rnacentral:misc_RNA from 1 species
GAUGAAGAACGCAGCGAAAUGCGAUACGUAGUGUGAAUUGCAGAAUUCCGUGAACCAUCGAAUCUUUGAACGCAAAUUGCGCUCGAGGCCUCGGCUAAGAGCAUGUCUGGCUCAGCGUCGGCUUACUACCCUCAAUCAAUUACCUUGUGAUGAUUGGUUGGAGCUGGCUUUCCGGUGUUCCAAUCAGGUUGCCGGUCAGCUGAAAAACAUUCACGCUGUGGAAGUCGCUUUCCCUUCAAAAAGGAAAGCCGAGUUCCGAUUUGGUAGGUGACCUUUGCCGGUUGCAUGCCUUCGUUGCUCGUUCUGGCUUUCAUGAUAGCGUGUGCAGGACGCCAUUUUGGCUUUCGACCUGAGCUCAGGCAAGAACACCCGCUGAACUUAAGCAUAUCAAUAAGCGGAGGA